GUGGGGAAUUUUGGACAAUGGGCGCAAGCCUGAUCCAGCAAUGCCGCGUGCAGGAAGAAGGCCUUCGGGUUGUAAACUGCUUUUGUACGGAACGAAACGGCUCUGGUUAAUACCCGGGGCUAAUGACGGUACCGUAAGAAUAAGCACCGGCUAACUACGUGCCAGCAGCCGCGGUAAUACGUAGGGUGCAAGCGUUAAUCGGAAUUACUGGGCGUAAAGCGUGCGCAGGCGGUUUUGUAAGACAGGCGUGAAAUCCCCGGGCUCAACCUGGGAAUGGCGCUUGUGACUGCAAAGCUGGAGUGCGGCAGAGGGGGAUGGAAUUCCGCGUGUAGCAGUGAAAUGCGUAGAUAUGCGGAGGAACACCGAUGGCGAAGGCAAUCCCCUGGGCCUGCACUGACGCUCAUGCACGAAAGCGUGGGGAGCAAACAGGAUUAGAAACCCGAGUAGUCC
rnacentral:rRNA from 1 species